CUAAUAACUCUUCUCACUGUCAAACCUAUAUGCAAAAAUAACUUAUAAACUAUUGAUCAUUUUUUAACAUAUGUUCAUCAUCCUAUUGUUUGGUUUGCAAGAUAUUGUUGUUGAGAAUGGAUCAUUUUCUUUUAUACUUUUUGUGUUGAUUCUCCAAGAAAUUGUAUUUUGAUUCUUUUCAAUGCAAUUGGGAUUCUGGGUCAUGAUCAUUUUUUAGGAUAUUGUUCAUGAUCAUAUUCUUUAAUUUGCAAGAUAUUGUUGUUGAGAUGAAUCAUGUUUUUAACUUUUUGUGUUGAUUUUCCAAAAAAAGAUUGGAUUUUGAUUCUUUGCAAUGCAAUUGAGUUUCUGGAUCAUUGAUAAUUUUUUCUAUGGUUGUUGAUUGCAGUUCAUGAGCAUGAGGAGAGAGAGUGGAAGGCUUACCAUUGGAGACUUAUCUUCCAAGAUGUCAAGGUUGAAAGUUGUGGGAGAAAAUCUGAGUGAAGAAGAGAGAGAUUCUUAUAUCCAUGAUUUGUAUCAAAACACAGAUGAAGAUGUUGAUUUCGAAUGGUUUCUCAAGGUCUUGAACAGUACGGUUAUGUUUGGUAAAUCUGCUCUUCAACCAAAAAGGUUGCUGAUGUGGAUGCUUAAUGACCGUUAAGAUCCCUUGAUUAUGAUAAUCUGACAGUUGUGAUUUAAAAUGUAUUAGUUUAGUAGCAAUUAUGUUGUAAUGACUUUCUGUCACUCUAGUUUAAUAUUUUGUUAUUGAGGAUGUUCUAAUCUUGUUACAAUGUCAUUUUAGUGGAAACAAUAUUAUUAACUAUUGUCUUCUUUUGAAAGUUUGCUCUUGAAUGAAUGA